ACUUUUCAUUACACAAUGUUUUACUAUACAUUUGUGUCUUACAGCUCCUCUGCCAUAUGGAUUCUUCAAUAUCUAGUUCAAGAACUGAGUUUACACUGCAGUCUUCCACCCAUUGAGAGCACUGGCUGGGCUUUUCAAACAGUUCCCACAGGUGGCAUUCUAUCACAUCUACGUCUUUUGCAGAGGACAUUGCAUUUAAGGAACCACAAGGACUUGCCAGUCACUAAAUCCUGUGUCUGCAUGAUGAAGGCACUGCAUAAAAACACUAGGGGAUGGAUGCAAACAAUGUGCUUGUGAGAGUGACAAUAAAACAGAGAUGACAGCUUAAAGAGAGAAUGAU
rnacentral:lncRNA from 1 species